rnacentral:rRNA from 1 species
CCUACGGGUGGCAGCAGUGGGGAAUAUUGGACAAUGGGGGCAACCCUGAUCCAGCCAUGCCGCGUGUGUGAAGAAGGCCCUCGGGUUGUAAAGCACUUUCAGUGAGGAAGAACGCCUGGUGGUUAAUACCCAUCAGGAAAGACAUCACUCACAGAAGAAGCACCGGCUAACUCCGUGCCAGCAGCCGCGGUAAUACGGAGGGUGCGAGCGUUAAUCGGAAUUACUGGGCGUAAAGCGCGCGUAGGUGGCUUGAUAAGCCGGUUGUGAAAGCCCCGGGCUCAACCUGGGAACGGCAUCCGGAACUGUCAAGCUAGAGUGCAGGAGAGGAAGGUGGAAUGCCCGGUGUAGCGGUGAAAUGCGUAGAGAUCGGGAGGAAUACCAGUGGCGAAGGCGGCCUUCUGGACUGACACUGACACUGAGGUGCGAAAGCGUGGGUAGCAAACAGGAUUAGAUACCCUGGUAGUC